UUACCCAGAGGGUCUCCACUGUGCCUUUGACAACUGUGACCUCCAUACAUUCUAUCCCUUCUAUUACAUACAGCAUCACCUCUCGUCUCUUGAAGAGCCUGUAACCAUCCAACAGGGCACUCCAGUCACAAGACUCAUCCCACCAGGUUUCACUUAUGCCAGUGAUGUCAAAUUUCUGGGACUGGGCCAAAGCUUUGAGCUCCUAUUGUUUGUUCCUCAUGCUGUGUGCAUUGGUGGAGGAACUAAUGUAGGAACCACACUAGGAGACAAGACACUACUAAACAAACAAAUAAUUGUGUUAAUUGUAAUCAAUACAUAUAAAAGCACCUUGAGAUCACACGCUUUGGGUGUGCUGGAAGUCAACCCACCUCAGAAGAUCAGGUGAAGAAAAGGCCUGACAGCACUCCACUGCUUAUCACUCCCCAGCCUGCAGAGUGACCGAAACUCAUUUGCCAGCAAAUUUGCCUUUGGAUAAAAAUCAGAACUCAAAAAAAUAAAUAACGUAUCUUCU